UACGUAGGGCGCAAGCGUUGUCCGGAAUUAUUGGGCGUAAAGAGCUCGUAGGCGGCUUGUCACGUCGAUUGUGAAAGCCCCGAGGCUUAACCUCGGGUCUGCAGUCGAUACGGGCUAGCUAGAGUGUGGUAGGGGAGAUCGGAAUUCCUGGUGUAGCGGUGAAAUGCGUAGAUAUCAGGAGGAACACCGGCGGUGUAGACGGCUCUCUGGACCGUAACUGACGCGAGAUACGAAAGCGUGGGUAGCAAACAGG
rnacentral:rRNA from 1 species